GUGAGUUUUAUCAUUUGUUCUUCACAAAGUUACACUUUUUUAGAUCAGUAAAUUAAGUUUCAUAAAUCUCCUAGUAGAUCUCUGUUGCAAAUAAUAGUCACUUAAAGGAAAAAUCCCACAAAUAGUGGCAUUCACUAAUGUAUUUUGAUGUCUUUUUUAAAAUCUAUAUCUAAUGUUUCUUUAUGAAAAUUAAAAGUUGUUUUAGCUAUUCACUAGCUAAACGCCCGAAGAUUCCUUGAAGUCUGGCUUAUUCAGCUAAUGUGACUCUAUUAUGAAAUAGGCAGACUUCUGUCUUGAUUGCUUUUCUUUAGAUCCAUUCCAAAGCCCAUCAAAAGACUGAGAAACCAGGGUUUUCUCUUGAUGCUCAUUAUGAUUUUCCUAAUUUUUCCGUGCUGAAGUGCCACAGCAUUAUAAUUGUAUGUAUUCAUAUUCAACAAAAGAAUGUGUAAAAUUAAUACCCGACACAUUGCCACAUCCAUAUUACUCCCUUUUCUUCAACUAGAUGUGAUUUUUUUAAAAGUAUUUUUCAAUACACUUAAAAAGUUGCCAGAUGUGUUGGCGCACACCUGUAGUUCAAGUCCCAGCUACUCGGAAGGCUGAGACAGGAGGAUCGCUUGAGUCCAGGAGUUCUGGGCUGUGGUGCGCUAUGCUGAUUAGGUUUCUGCACUAAGUUUGGCAUCAAUAUGGUGAACUCACAGGAGCGGGGCUGCACCAGGUUGCCUAAGGAGGAGUAAACCAGUGCAGGUUGGAAAUGGAGCAGUCAAAACUCCCAUGCUAAGAGAUGCUUAAAAAGUAGUAAAAGAAAAGGAAGUAAUUUUAGGACUGAAAAUUCAGUCAAGUUCUUCAUUUCUUUAGAGCUAGGGCAGAGGUGGGGGAGAAAUGCAGAAGGUAGUUAAGCCAAAGGUGGACCCUCACAUACUUCUGUACUCAAUUUAUCAUCUCAACCCCUUUGCUCACUGCCCCAGCCACAAUGCUAAGCAACAUUUUAUCACGGCAGUAUACAUGGAUGUCAAAUUGUUAGGAUUCAAAGGAGAUGAGGAGUAUUUUCCAUCACAUUAACCUGCCGUAUUCAUGGUCUUCCUUGAAUUACUUUCCAGUCUUUACUGGGCUUCACUUAUGUCUAGCUUAACUUUUUCUGACUACCAGUUGGUGCUAGGAAUUUGUUGGUCACUCAGCAACAUAACCCAAAUCACAGGGGAAGAUUUGAAAUAUCUCGAGAGACUCAUCUGCUCUGAAUAUACUCACUCAAUCCAAAGAAGUACCAGAAAACUAAAUCUAUGUGCUGAGAUGUGGAGUUUUGUCAGCUUUUUUCACUGUGGACAAUACAGCUGGAUUGAAAAGAAAUUAAAAACCCAACAAGAAAUGCAAAUAAAAGUGCAAGAGUUGGUUUGUGCUCAUCUGGAGCCCACAUCUCCCAGGCUUUGAUGGACCUACCAAAUGUUGCAGUUUGUCAGAUUGAAUGAUGACACUAUCAGAAGGCCUACAGGAAUACAGUGUUGCUGUGACUCCAUGUUGUUUAAAGCAAACCAUCUACCAGCUGGAGAAGGAAUCAUUUGUAACAGGAACAAGGGGAUUUGUUCCUCAUACUAAGGGAUGUUACAGUGAAGAUGAGUUUUUGAACUCUUGGAAGGCAGGAAGGAGAAGCUACUUAAUCUUCAAGAUUAAAACCAAGAACUAACGCACUUUGGGGAAAAGAAUGCUUUAGUACUUGAAGAUUGAAUAAUGAAUACCUGCUGAAUGUUCUUAUUGAGGUUUUUCCUAAAUAAACUUCAAUGGCAUCUUAGGACAGUUUACUGCAGAAACUUUGAUCCCUGGGUGGAGUAUCCUACCACUGGCCCAUUUGAAGAGUUACAUCUGGAUUUGACUGCUCUAUUCUACCUGGAAUAUUGUUAGGCUAGUCUUUAAACCAGUUUCUAAACAGUUGUAAUCAUUAAUUAACCCAACCAUUCCUCAAAUGUAAGAUUAAAAGAUGAUGGGGAAAAAAAUUAAAAGAUGAAUAGAUGUAAUUUAUUUAGAGUUUCCCUGAUUAAAGGCAGUGGUGUUGUCUAAUAGUUUGACUGACAGUGUAACUUAUGUUUCCUUUUGAGUUUGUUAGUGAUAGUUUUCCAUUUGAAAGCCAUUGGUUUUUUCAUUGUAACAAUCAGAUUAUUCACCGUAAUGAGAUUACAUAAGCAAACCCCAAUGAUUUAGUCAUGUUUAAGAAUGGUUGUAGGACUUGAAACCAGAUUCUGACGAAAUAAGAGUCAUUUCUGUGUAGUUAAUUGAUAGUUUCUUUUUUUUUUUUUUU